CAGCAGCCGCGGUAAUACAGAGGAUGCAAGCGUUGUUCGGAGUUACUGGGCGUAAAGGGUGUGUAGGCGGUUGUUUAAGUUUGGUGUGAAAUCUCCCGGCUCAACUGGGAGGGUGCGCCGAAUACUGAAUGACUAGAGUAUGGGAUGGGAGAGUAGAAUUCCUGGUGUAGCGGUGAAAUGCGUAGAUAUCAGGAGGAAUACCGGUGGUGUAGACGGCUCUCUGGACCAUUACUGACGCUGAGACACGAAAGCGUGGGUAGCAAACAGGAUUAGAUACCCCCGUAGUCCCUGUCUCUUAUAC
rnacentral:rRNA from 1 species